AAGAUUUUAGGUUAAAUAAACUGAAGACUUUCAAGGUCUUAUAUAAAUUACAUAAUUUAAAUCUUG
rnacentral:tRNA from 1 species